rnacentral:rRNA from 1 species
UAGGGAAUCUUCGGCAAUGGGGGCAACCCUGACCGAGCAACGCCGCGUGAGUGAAGAAGGUUUUCGGAUCGUAAAGCUCUGUUGUAAGUCAAGAACGAGUGUGAGAGUGGAAAGUUCACACUGUGACGGUAGCUUACCAGAAAGGGACGGCUAACUACGUGCCAGCAGCCGCGGUAAUACGUAGGUCCCGAGCGUUGUCCGGAUUUAUUGGGCGUAAAGCGAGCGCAGGCGGUUUGAUAAGUCUGAAGUUAAAGGCUGUGGCUCAACCAUAGUUCGCUUUGGAAACUGUCAAACUUGAGUGCAGAAGGGGAGAGUGGAAUUCCAUGUGUAGCGGUGAAAUGCGUAGAUAUAUGGAGGAACACCGGUGGCGAAAGCGGCUCUCUGGUCUGUAACUGACGCUGAGGCUCGAAAGCGUGNNNAGCGAACAGGAUUAGAUACCCUGGUAGUCCACGCCGUAAACGAUGAGUGCUAGGUGUUGGAUCCUUUCCGGGAUUCAGUGCCGCAGCUAACGCAUUAAGCACUCCGCCUGGGGAGUACGACCGCAAGGUUG